UACGUAGGGGGCAAGCGUUGUCCGGAUUUAUUGGGCGUAAAGAGCGUGUAGGCGGCCAGACAGGUCAGCUGUGAAAACUCGAGGCUCAACCUCGAGACGUCGGUUGAAACCGUCUGGUUAGAGUCCGGAAGAGGAGAGUGGAAUUCCCGGUGUAGCGGUGAAAUGCGCAGAUAUCGGGAAGAACACCCGUGGCGAAGGCGGCUCUCUGGGACGGUACUGACGCUGAGACGCGAAAGCGUGGGGAGCGAACAGG
rnacentral:rRNA from 1 species